rnacentral:rRNA from 1 species
UACGGGGGGGGUAAGCGUUGUUCGGAAUUACUGGGCGUAAAGGGCUCGUAGGCGGCCAACUAAGUCAUACGUGAAAUCCCUCAGCUUAACUGGGGAACUGCGUGUGAUACUGGAUGGCUUGGAUUUGGGAGAGGGAUGCGGAAUUCCAGGUGUAGCGGUGAAAUACGUAGAUAUCGGAAGGAACACCAGUGGCGGAAGCGGCUUCCUGGUCCAGCACCGACGUUCAGGCACGAAAGCGUGGGGAGCAAACAGG